AUUGAACGCUGGCGGCAUGCUUUACACAUGCAAGUCGAACGGCAGCGCGGGCUUCGGCCUGGCGGCGAGUGGAGAACGGGUGAGUAAUGCAUCGGAACGUGCCCAGUAGUGGGGGAUAGCCCGGCGAAAGCCGGAUUAAUACCGCAUACGACCUGAGGGUGAAAGCGGGGGACCGAAAGGCCUCGCGCUAUUGGAGCGGCCGAUGUCGGAUUAGCUAGUUGGUGGGGUAAAGGCUUACCAAGGCGACGAUCCGUAGCUGGUCUGAGAGGACGACCAGCCACACUGGGACUGAGACACGGCCCAGACUCCUACGGGAGGCAGCAGUGGGGAAUUUUGGACAAUGGGGGCAACCCUGAUCCAGCCAUGCCGCGUGCGGGAAGAAGGCCUUCGGGUUGUAAACCGCUUUUGUUCGGGAAGAAAUCCUCUGGGCUAAUACCCCGGGGGGAUGACGGUACCGGAAGAAUAAGCACCGGCUAACUACGUG
rnacentral:rRNA from 1 species